AACGCACCUUGCACCCUCUGGUCUUCCUGAGGGUACACCCGUUUGAGUAUCAUUGUAAUCUCACAUCUCUAAUCUUUGUUGAUUUGGGAUUGUGGAUAUGGACGCUUGCUGCAGUCUUUGUAGCUCGUCUGAAAUGUCUUAGUACAAUGCCGUGCUGGCAGAGGUGCUUGGUGUAAUAAUCUAUCUCACCAAUGACUAUCCUCAACUUGUCCGGUCUCGGUGGUCUUGUGCUAUCCAACUGUCUAACGACAACUAUUUACUUGACAAUUUGAUCUCAAAUCGGGUGGGACUACCCGCUGAACUUAA
rnacentral:misc_RNA from 1 species